CCACUCCAAUUAGGGUUUAAGGUAGGUUUUUGUGUUUCUCAGUUGAUUUUCUUUCAUUCCUGUCAGUUUAUUGCAUAGAAGGCAAGAAGCCUUGCUGCGGGUGCGUAUGGUUUCUGUUGGUUCAAAAGCUUUAGCGUCAAGAAGAGACAGGAGUUGUUGUAAUUUGGUGGAAGAUAACUUGAUGGGCAGGGAGGAUAAAUCAUAUAAUCAGGGCAGAAAGAAAAAGGGUAUGAGCAGGAAGGCCAAGAAUGGCAGUUUUGGUUUUGAUGCUGAUAAUUCCAACAAAAGUGUUUCUGGGCGGGCGACUGAUGGAACUGCGAAACCCAAAAAGUCAUCAAAAUAUCAAAAUACUUUCUCAGAGCCACAACCAUCAAUUGUAAGGAAACAGGUUGAUCCUGAAACAACCAAAUAUUUUUCAGAGAUUGUAAAUCUUUUUGAAAGUGAUGGCGUUGAUUUGGAGGAGCGUCCGGUCAUAUGUGGCAAUGCUCUUGAAGAAGCUAGAGGCAAAGAAUUUGAGCUGGCAACUGAUUAUUAUAUAAGCCACACUCUGCAAAUCCUACUUGAGGGCUGUAAUGUGGACCAUCUUUGCGAUUUCCUCCGAGGCUGUGCAAAGGUCUUUCCUUUAAUUUCAAUGGAUAGGUCUGGUUCUCAUGUUGCUGAGACAGCUCUCAAGUCUUUAGCUAUGCAUCUUCAGGACGAUGAGGCUUAUUCUGUUAUUGAAGAGACUCUAACUAAUAUAUGCAAGGUAAUUGUAGCUAGUCCUGUUGAUAUGAUGUGUAACUGCUAUGGAUCUCAUGUUUUCCGAAGUCUUCUUUGUCUUUGUGGAGGAGUGCCAUUAGAUUCCCCAGUGUUCCAUCGAGCAAAACCAUCAAUGAUUCUGGCAGAGCGUUUGAACCUCAGCACUUCUUCAGCCCCUGGGAACAAUUUAUCACAUCAUCAUCAAGGAUUUCCUGGUUUACUCAAGUUUCUUGUAUCAGGAAUGUUGAAAUGUAGUGAAGAAGAUGUGAAAUACCUUCUAGUUGAUCAGUACAGCAGUUUGGUUUUCCAGGCAUCUUUGAAGUUAUUUGCUGGGCAUGAUCAACAGUUGUUACAGAUAAUUCCGGUCCUACUUGACUGCAGAAAAGAAAAUUUAACAGAAGGAAACUUCAUAGAAAUGACAGCGGUCGGUGACAUUGUAGAGUUAAUGAAAGAAGCUGCGUAUAGCCACCUAAUGGAGGUAAUCCUGGCAGUGAGUCCUGAAAGCUUGUAUGAUGAAAUGUUCACAAAGAUUUUCAGGAAAUCUCUAUUUGAGCUUUCAUCCCAUCAGUGUGGCAAUUUUGUUGUUCAAGCCUUAGUUUCUCAUGCAAGAGAUCGGGAACAAAUGGAGUUUAUCUGGGAGAAACUUGGUCCAAAAUUUAGGGAUCUUCUUGAAAUGGGGAAGUCAGGAGUUAUUGCAUCUCUUAUUGCUACAAGUCAAAGGCUUCACACACAUGAACAUGAGGUCUGUAAGGCCCUUGCUGAUGCAGUAUGUUUGCCAAAUGAGUCUCCUAGAUCUGUUGUUGAUCGAAUAUUGUUUCUUGAAAGUUACUUUGCUUGUGUGGAAAAAUCCAAUUGGAAGUGGCCAAGUGGUGCCAAGAUCCAUGUUAUGGGCUCUCUGAUUCUGCAGGCAGUUUUUAAAUUUCAAAAUCAACUCAUACAGCCUUAUAUAAUGAGUCUCACAUCCAUGGAAGUUGACCAUGUCCUUGAAGCUGCAAAGGAUGUAGGGGGAGCUCGUACAAUCGAAGCAUUUCUAGAUUCCGAUGCGUCUGGAAAACAAAAGCACAGGCUAAUUAAUAAGUUACGAGGACAUUUUGGAGAGCUUGCAAUGCACUCUUCCGGUUCAUUUACUGUUGAAAAGUGCUUUAGUGCCAGUAAUUUGUCACUAAGAGAAGCUAUAGCAUCAGACUUGUUAUCCGUGCAAAGUGAGCUUCCCAAGACCAAGCAAGGCCCUUACCUCUUAAGAAAAUUAGAUAUUGAUGGAUAUGCUAACUGGCCUGAUCAGUGGAGAUCAAGACAGGCUUCGAAACAAUCAACUUACAAAGAAUUUUAUGCUGCAUUUGGAUCUGGUGAGGCCAAGUUAUCAAAAAGUGACUCCUUCCUUGCUGAUACUUCCAAGAGCACGUCACACGCAAUAGGAGUAAAGAAUGUGAGGAAAGAGAUUGAUCAUCAUUUGGCCUCAUCAGAGAAAUAUGCAAAGCACGCUGUGGUUGAUGAUGUCAUGAAAGUGAAAAACAAGAAGCACGAGAAGGGUCAUAGUGGUGCCUCUGAUGAGAAAGCAACAGGGAGUGUAAAUCAGAAACCUUUUCUGUCUGUUGACCUGAAGAAGAACAAACGACACGGACAAGAGGAGCGAUCAAAAGCUUCAAGAAAGAAGUUAAAAGUUUGAUGUCGCCUAGUUGAGGCUUGCACCUGGGACAAAAAAACAGGGAAUUUAAAUCAAUUACCAGAAAACCGCAAAUGGUGGAAAAGGUCUUGAAACUGUUUGUUCUCCCUGUGAAGUUGAAGCCUUGCUUGACACUGAAGUGGUAGAUGGUGGUGCCAAAGAACGACCCUCUGCUUGAGCUUUGUUUAACCAGGCGGAUAGAAGUAGUGAAAGAAGAAGAGCAAGAGCAGCCAGCGCUCUAGAGUAUGACUUCAUUUUGUUGGUGGUUUGCUGUUUGUUAUGCUACUUGGUGAGUGAGGUGACAAUGAUUUCUGGUAUGAUAUGAUAGAAUGAGACCAUGUAGUAGUUCAUACAAGUAGAAGUGAUUUAUACCUAACUUACUGAUUUUUUACUUUCAAAUUACCAGUAAAAAUCCAAAUUGGGAUCUGAUAACAGUGGGAUCAUGUGCUUUUCUUUGACUGUUACAUGUUUAGUGACUCUGACCCGAUUCUGGUUGUUUUGUAAAACAUUUGUAAGAAGGUCAUGUGAUUUAUCACGUGAUCUCAACACCAGGCCUUUUGGGGAAGCUAAAAGGAUCAGUAUUAUAUUGUGUGAUUAGGCAGUGCUUCAGCCUCCAACUCCAA